rnacentral:misc_RNA from 2 species
AAGUCAUAACAAGGUUUCCGUAGGUGAACCUGCGGAAGGAUCAUUAAUAGUGCCCUCUGAUGCAAGUCAUUGGGUUAGAUCUGCUCUCCUCGCAAGAGGAGGGUUUCCAUACACACCGUGAACUGUGGCUUCGGCCAUCACAAACUGUUAGUAAUGAAUGUAAAAUCAUAACAAAAACAAAACUUUUAACAACGGAUCUCUUGGCUCUC